GACGACCCCUGGCGGCGCGCCUAACACAUGCAAGUCGAACGAGCGAGAGAGAGUUUACUUUUUCGAGCGAGUGGCGAACGGGUGAGUAACGCGUGAGGAACCUGCAUCAAAGAGGGGGGACAACAGUUGGAGACGACUGCUAAUACCGCAUAAGCCCACGACCCGGCAUCGGGUAGAGGGAAAAGGAGCAAUCCGCUUUGAGAUGGCCUCGCGUCCGAUUAGCUAGUUGGUGAGGUAAUGGCCCACCAAGGCGACGAUCGGUAGCCGGACUGAGAGGUUGAACGGCCACAUUGGGACUGAGACACGGCCCACACUCCUACGGGAGGCAGCAGUGGGGAAUAUUGCACAGUGGGGGAAACCCUGAUGCAGCGACGCCGCGUGGAGGAAGAAGGUCUUCGGAUUGUAAACUCCUGUUGUUGAGGAAGAUAAUGACGGUACUCAACAAGGAAGUGACGGCUAACUACGUGCCAGCAGCCGCGGUAAAACGUAGGUCACAAGCGUUGUCCGGAAUUACUGGGUGUAAAAGGGAGCGCAGGCGGGAAGACAAGUUGGAAGUGAAAUCCAUGGGCUCAACCCAUGAACUGCUUUCAAAACUGUUUUUCUUGAGUAGUGCAGAGGUAGGCGGAAUUCCCGGUGUAGCGGUGGAAUGCGUAGAUAUCGGGAGGAACACCAGUGGCGAAGGCGGCCUACUGGGCACCAACUGACGCUGAGGCUCGAAAGUGUGGGUAGCAAACAGGAUUAGAUACCCUGGUAGUCCACACUGUAAACGAUGAUUACUAGGUGUUGGAGGAUUGACCCCUUCAGUGCCGCAGUUAACACAAUAAGUAAUCCACCUGGGGAGUACGACCGCAAGGUUGGAACUCAAAGGAAUUGACGGGGGCCCGCACAAGCAGUGGAGUAUGUGGUUUAAUUCGACGCAACGCGAAGAACCUUACCAAGUCUUGACAUCCUGCGACGGUGCUGGAAACAGUGCUUUCCUUCGGGACGCAGAGACAGGUGGUGCAUGGUUGUCGUCAGCUCGUGUCGUGAGAUGUUGGGUUAAGUCCUGCAACGAGCGCAACCCUUAUGGUCAGUUACUACGCAAGAGGACUCUGGCCAGACUGCCGUUGACAAAACGGAGGAAGGUGGGGAUGACGUCAAAUCAUCAUGCCCUUUAUGACUUGGGCUACACACGUACUACAAUGGCGUUAAACAAAGAGAAGCAAGACCGCGAGGUGGAGCAAAACUCAGAAACAACGUCCCAGUUCGGACUGCAGGCUGCAACUCGCCUGCACGAAGUCGGAAUUGCUAGUAAUCGCGGAUCAGCAUGCCGCGGUGAAUACGUUCCCGGGCCUUGCACU
rnacentral:rRNA from 1 species